rnacentral:lncRNA from 1 species
CCUUUAACCACUUUUCACAUUUCCCAUGUGUUCAAAGAUAAUGAAUAAUGUUACAGGGAAACGCAGGAAGAAAAAAAUUAUUGGGCGCAUCUUCUUACUUGUGAGCGAGCAGGAGUGUGUCAUGGCUUUCCCAAUAACAGGCAAGGUGUUUACCAGCUGAACGGAUUCUCAGGGGUGGCCGAACUUUGAUACUGAUCUCUUUAGGUGUCAAUGAAAACAUCUCAGGAAGACCUUAUUGAUAGAAAAAUGUAGAGAAAUGUGUUUAGUACAACAUCAUUCUUGCUGACCCUGAGGAGGGAUCCUCGUCUUAUAAAUAAGCUGGAUAGAACACCAAGGCCUAAAUCAAGAAUUACCAACACCUGCAAGCGACAAACAUCAAAUAUUUAACCAACUCAUAUCAAAUUCAGAAGGGAAUAUAAACAUAUACAGUUGCUGAUCAUUAUCCCGUUUCACAAUGAAGCAUAAUCAAUGUAUAUGGAAUUAUGUGAGAGUUCAAACCUAAGACUUCCCAUGUUAAUUUGUCAUUCCUCUAUGAAAGAAAACUAUAUAGAUUAUGAGAAACUUUUGNNNNNNNNNNNNNNNNNNNNNNNNNNNNNNNNNNNNNNNNNNNNNNNNNNNNNNNNNNNNNNNNNNNNNNNNNNNNNNNNNNNNNNNNNNNNNNNNNNNNUUUUUUUUUUGAAAUUUUUCCCAAAAUUUUUUUUUUCGCCGUGAAAAAUUAGGGGAAAGUUUUUUUAAAUUUUUUGGGGUUUUUUUUUUUAUAUAAAUUUAAAAAAAAAAAAAAGGGGGUUCACCCCUUUUUAAAAAUUUCCCCGUUUUUUUUUUAAAAAAAAAACCCCCCCCCCUUUUUUUUUUCCUUUUUUUUUUUUUUUAAAAAAAAAUAAUAUAAAAAAAAAUCCCUUUUUUUUUAAAAUUUUCCCUUUUUUUUUUUAUAAAAAACCCGUUUUUUUUUUUUUUUUUUUUUUUUUAAAUUCCCCCCAUUUUUUUUUUUUUGGGGAAAAAGGUUUUAACCCCCUUUGGGCCCCCCGGGGGGGUUUUUUAAAUUUUUUUUAAAAAAAAAAAAAUAUCCCCCCUGUAUUUUCCUUCCCCUGGGUUUUGGGGUUUUUUUUUUUUUUGAAAAAAAUUUUUUUUUUUUCCCCAAAUUUUUCCCCCAAAAAAUUUUUAAAAAAAAUUUUUUUAAAAACCUUUUUUUUUUUUUUUUUUUCCCCCCCCCCCCCCCCCCCCCCCCCCAACCAAGGAGGAAAAUGUCGGGAUAUAUCGGGAGGAGUCGACACGAUAUCUCGUGGAGAAAAAUCGGAGGGGAGAUAUUUCCGCAAAAAUCGCCAAAAUAUCGGCGAUAUAUCGGCUCAGGGAGAUAUAUCGGCGAAGAUAAAUUGUCGAUUUUUUGGCGAUAUUUCCCCUCCUUCAUGCAACGUGAUCUGACGGCCUAGAUCACGCUCGUGUUGAUCCGACGGCCUAGAUGUGAUUCCAAUGGUAAUAUGGCGAUCCAACGACCAGAUUGCUCCUAGUUUUUGAUCCAACGGCCAAAAUUAAUUUUCAACGGUAAAUUAAUGUUCCAACGGCUAUUUUGGCCAAAAUUUCUUCUAUAAAUAGCCCAAAUUUCAUCUAUUUCAUCCAUUUUUGCUUUCAUUCUUCAUUUGCUCUCUCAUUACUCCAAUUUUUAUUAAGGUUGCUCAAUUAUUUAAUCAUUUUAAGGUAUAUUUGUUUUAAAUUGUAAUUAAUUUUGUUUGCAGUUGUAAUUAAUUCAUGUAUUUUCAAUUAAUUAGUAUGUUUGCAAUAUGGAUGAUUUAAUGCUAUUUUUACAUUCAAUUGUAAUUAAUUUUUACAUUUUUAUUGAAUUAACUUAGGUUAAUUUGAUUAUUUAAUUAUAAAUUGAUAUGUUUAUUUUAGAUGAUUAUUUGUGAUUUAUUUUCACAUUUAGAAUUAAAUUAAACUAGUUAACUUAGCUAAAUUAUUUAAUUAACAUGAACUAGUAUAUUUUGAAUAUGAAAUAUGUUUAUUUAAUGAAUUUAAUGUGUACAAAUUAUUGAUAUUUAAUGAAAUGAAGUAUUUUAUGUGACUUUAUAAUGAGAACAAUUACAAAAUUAACAUUUCUUAUAGAUCGACAUGAUAUAAUUACAUCUAAUAUCACAAAUUAUAUCAUAUGUAUAUCAAAUUUUUCAAUAAAACAACUUUAAAAUGUCCAUUAUACUUUUAAUUAUAUCAUUAUGGGGUUUUCCUUGUAUUUCCAUGAGUUUUUAACAAUUUUAAGCCUACCGAUAUUUUUUUCCAAAAUAUUUGUCAAUAUAUCUCCGAUAUAUCCGAUAUAUCCGUAAAAUCGAAGUACCGAUAUAUCCGUGAUUACCAAUAUUUUCAUCCUUGCCCCCAACACACACAUGCCCCCUUAAUAUUUUUGGUAGCUACUGAAGUUGGUUGAAUUGAUUCAAUUAACUGAUUGACGUUCCACAAAUUUGGAACUUAUAGAUUAUCAAUCUGUGUUGCAAACUGGCAUAUAAAAGAAAAAAUCAUGUGUGUUGUGAACUGAAUUGAUUUGUCUUACAAGUGUUAAUUAUUUCUACAUGCUUCAAAUGUUCCAGGUCUUUUGGGAUUAUUAAACGGUUUGACAACAAUUCCAAAAAACACCUGGUAAGGGAAGAUUUCCUGUGUUCUGUAAGAUUAGUUGACAAUAUGUUUAUAUUCAUAUAAGAUACAUCUCUGUUGUUGCAGAUCAUGUUUGAAGAUGGUGAUGGGGAAUUUCUUGACAUGUCAAAAGAAGAUUGGGAAUUUGUAACUUUAUGAUGUAAUAUGGGGUGAGUUUGUCCUUUACUUAACAGUGCUUCUAUUUCAAAGUUGGUAUUGGAUCUAAUACUGUAAUGCUAUAUUCUCAUUAUUUCUGUAUAUAUACUUAAAAAUUGACAAAAUAUGAUAUGGUAUGAUUCUUACAAGUGCACUACAGUUUCAGCUAAAAUGAUACGGAUCACUGAUAUGUAUUGCAUCUCAUGACACAUAUAAUGCACAGUACCAUAACAAUAUAAUAUGUUAAGGUUGAAAGUCAAUGAAAAAAAGGAAGGGAAGAGAGAAUGAUGACAUGGGUGUUGAAAGCAAAGAAAAUAAGUGAAAUUUGAUUAUUGUUGCUAUGAAUGUUGGGGAAAUGUGGUUUGAAUCGAACACAUGGUUGCUUGGAUGAUGUAAAUAUUGACCAUGAGAAUGAUGAUGACCAAGAACAAAAGUUUCUUCUUAAUCUAUUAUAGUUUUCUUUCAUAGAGGAAUGACAAUUAACAUGGGAAGUCUUAGUUUUGAACUUCUCACAUAAUUCCAUAUACAUUGAUUAUGCUUUCAUUGUUGAAACGGGAUAAUGAUCAGCAACUGUAUAUGUUUAUAUUCCCUUCUGAAUUUGAUAUGAGUUGGUUAAAUAUUUGAUGUUGUCGCCUUGCAGGUGUUGGUAAUUCUUGAUUUAGGCCUUGGUGUUCUAUCCAGCUUAUUUAUAAGACGAGGAUCCCUCCUCAGGGUCAGCAAGAAUGAUGUUGUACUAAACACAUUUCUCUACAUUUUUCUAUCAAUAAGGUCUUCCUGAGAUGUUUUCAUUGACACCUAAAGAGAUCAGUAUCAAAGUUCGGCCACCCCUGAGAAUCCGUUCAGCUGGUAAACACCUUGCCUGUUAUUGGGAAAGCCAUGACACACUCCUGCUCGCUCACAAGUAAGAAGAUGCGCCCAAUAAUUUUUUUCUUCCUGCGUUUCCCUGUAACAUUAUUCAUUAUCUUUGAACACAUGGGAAAUGUGAAAAGUGGUUAAAGGAUCUUGCUCUUGAAAUCUGAUGUGAAAAGUUGAGCUUAAUUAGAUGCUUUAGAUAAUCUAGUUGGAAGAUGUCGAAUUCUAAUGCUUGGAAGCAUCCAUUGUACUGAACCUUUUGUGGUUGGAUCAUCCUUGUAUUUCUAUGUUUAAUGGCGUUUGUUUGGCUUAAGGUAGAGGACAAUGGAGUGGGAAACAAUCUCCCUCAUGUACUGAAAAAUUUCGAUAUAACCAACUGUAUUGAAAUCUGACUGUAAAAUAAAGCAGCUACUAAUUACUAUUAUUGUUUGUUGUGUCAUUUAAUUAUUGAGCUGGCUGCUUUUCCUUCUUUUGUUUUGACUGUAGGUCAAAGUGGUGGCCCUUUCACCUUUUUUUUUAAACUUAGAUGGUGUUUGUUUUUUUAGUUUUUUAUUGAAAAUAAUUUGUUUGUUUUUCUACUCUUUUAUAAAUUUUUUACUAAACAGAAAAAAUUAAAAUAUGUAGUUUUUUCUAAAUAAAAAAAAUAAAAUAUUGAUUUUUUUUUACUUUUUAAUACUUAAUAUAAAUAAAAUACUAUAAAAAUAAAUAAUAUAAUAUUUAACAUUAUUAACGUUAGAAUUAAGUAAAAAAAUAAACAUAUCAAAGUAAUAGAAAUGUAGAAAAACUUAAGAUGCUUUGCCACCCUACCAAUCUCUUUCUUUUCUUAUAUUUGUUAUUUAUAAUAAAUUUGUUCAAAUUUAGGCAUAUAUUUUAAAUCUUACGUGACUAAUAAUAAAAUAUAUUAUAUCCAUGUCACAUUUUGUUGUUAUACAGACUUUUAUUUUUAAUAUUUAUUUCAUGAAUUUAUUCUUUUUGAGUCCUUUUUACUUCAGAAAUGAAUGCUUAACAUUUCUUUGACAAGUCAAAUGCCAGUCCUGUUAAUCAAUUUCCUGUUCCACGAAGACAAAAAACAAACAAACAAAAAAGAAAAAAAUAGAAGCUUCCGUAUUUGGUCACCGACCCUCCCACGUGAAUUGAAUUCAACUUCUGUUUGUCAUUGUAGAUGUAAGUUUUUGAACUCCUCGACCGCUUCUCACCCUUUUUAUUAAUACCUCCUCUCCCCCAUAAUUCUACUCAAUCCCUUCAUCACAACCCCCAUUUCUUUGUGCCAAAAAUUCAUCAAUGGAGGAGAAAUGGUGGUUUGUUUUUGUAUUUUUUGCAUCUCUUUUAUUUGUGAGGUCCAAGUUCAAGUCCCGGUCCAAGUCCAAGUCCAAUCUCCCUCCAGGGCCAAGUACAUUUCCGAUCAUCGGAAAUUUAUUAUGGUUGCGAAAAUCUUUUUCAGAACUCGAGUAUGUGGUAAAGACUCUGCAUGAAAAGCAUGGUCCGAUUGUGAGCCUCCCCUUCGGGUUUAACCCGGCCAUCUUUGUGGCUAGUAACUCCUUGGCUUACCAAGCUCUAGUCCAAAACGGAGCCGUUUUUGCCGACCGCCCUCCCCUACCCAUCACCAGCAAGAUCAUGGCCAGCAGCCAGUGCACCAUAAGCUCCGCCCCCUACGGCCCUGCCUGGCGCCUCCUCCGCCGCAAUCUCACCUCCGAGAUCCUCCACCCCUCGCGCGUGAGGCUAUACUCCCGCGCCCGGAAGUGGGUCCUGGACAUUCUCGUCGCCGGCCUCCGUGAGGAGGCCGAAGGCCGGGACAACGUGGUUUUAGUGGUGAAGCACUUCCACUUCGCCAUGUUCUGCUUGCUGGUUCUCAUGUGCUUCGGCGACGACCUUGGGGAAGCCAAGAUCAGAGAGAUUCAAGGCAUGGAGAGUCGAGUCCUUCAGAGUUAUCACAACUUUAAAAUCCUCAAUUUCUUCCCGGCUAUCGGAAAAUUCUUGUUCCACAAGCGGUGGGAGAAGUUCAUGCAGCUGAGGAAGGAUCAUGAGGACGUGCUCAUCCCUCUGAUUAGAGCUCGGCAACCCUGCAAGAAGACGGAAACGGUGAGCAAACCAAAUCCAUCCAUAACGUGCUACGUCGACACUUUACUGGACCUGCAACUCCCGGACGAGAAGAGGAAGCUCACAGAAGGGGAGAUGGUAAGCUUGUGCUCGGAGUUUCUCAACGCCGGCACCCACACCACGGACGCUCCGCUGCAGUGGAUCAUGGCGAACCUGGUGAAGUACCCGCACAUUCAGGCCAAGCUUUUCGAGGAAAUUAGCGGGGUUGUGGGGGAAGGAGAGGACGAAGUGAAGGAGGAAGAUUUGCAGAAGAUGCCAUACUUGAAGGCGGUGGUGUUAGAGGGUCUCCGGCGGCACACUCCGGCCCACUUUCUGGUACCGCAUGCAGUGACCAAAGACGUGAUAUUAGAUGGGUAUGUGAUCCCAAAGGACGCCAAAGUAUUCUUCAUGGCAGCUGAAAUGGCGUGCAAUCCCGAGGUGUGGGAAGACCCAAUGGAGUUCAAGCCGGAGAGGUUCUUGAACAGCAAUAAUAAUGGUGAAACAUUUGAUAUAACUGGUAGCAGAGAGAUAAAGAUGAUGCCUUUUGGUGCAGGGAGGAGGAUAUGUCCAGGGUAUGGUUUAGGUUUGCUGCAUUUGGAGUAUUUUGUGGCGAACUUGGUGUGGAAAUUUGAAUGGAAGGCUGUGGGUGAAGACGGAGUUGAUCUUUCAGAAAGGCCUCUUGUGUCUCUGCUACCAACCACCAUGAAGAACCCGUUGCAGGCUCGCAUUUCUCCAAGGUUAUCAGCCAGGACUGCAAUGGAGUAAUUGCACACCUGUCCACCAUAUUUUGAUGGUGUACUCCUACUAAUAAUAAUUUAAUAAGAACAAUGAUGAUGAUAAUUCAUUGGAGGUGCUUGCAUGAGUGGGUUAUGAUAUGUGUUUUUGUAUAUUAGUAGGUCGUAGUGGGGAUAUGAGCCUUUUAUCUAUGAGAUCAUAAAUUCAGAAUGAUGAAACAAAUUAGCAAAGACGAGAUCUUUGCUUAGAGGGGGGAAAAUUGAAAAAUAUUAUGAAUCGGAGAUUAUCAAGAAAAUGAAAUACGUACCCAACUUUUAGUCAUGUUUGAUUCCUAGAAAAUACCAUUGAAAGACAAAAAUUUGUUAAGAAAAAUAAUUUUCUCAUACUCAAUUAUGAUAUAAAAAAUAGAAAAAAAAAGUCUAAUAUAAUUAAAAUUAAUAAGAAGAUCAUAUAUUUUUAAAUUAUUUAAUUUUUACAUCAAAGAGUUAAAUAGAUAAAAUGAAUUUAGAGUAAUAUAUAAAAAUAAUUUAUUGACUUUAAAACUUUUUUUUUUUCUCUAUUUUCUUUUCCACACAUUUCUCUUCGAACUUUUUAGAACCAAACAUAGCCUUAAUGAUGGAUACCUAUUUGGAUACAUUUUAUAUAAAAAUAUUUUAUCAUAUAUAAGUAAAAUAGAAACUAAAAAUGUAUUAAAUACAUCAAAUGUAUCUAUUUUUUCUCUUUAUUUUUUUUAUUUUUUAUUUUUUUAUCAUUUUCCCUUAUAUAUUAUCUAGAACUAAACAUAGCAUAAGUUUAUGUUCUUGUAAAAAUUGAGGGAAGUAAAAUAUGGAGGAGAAAGAGGAAAAGAAAAAGGUAAGAAAAAAUUAUAGAAUUUUUAUCUUAUAUUUAAAAAUUUUGAGGGAAUAAAUAAAUAAAUUAAUAUAGAGGAAAAUGCAUGGAGCCAUGAGUGGAUAUGGAUGAAGUAAUGGGGUAAGAAGACUAGGAUUGCAGUGAUGAAUGGAGAGGUGGGGUUGAGUAGGUGAUCAUGAGAGGGAAUGGAUGGCAAGAGUAUGGAGAGGCGCAGGCUGAUUGGUGGGACAAACGAGGCUGGCCAAAUAUGGAGUGGAGAGAGAGAGAGAGAGAGAGAGAGGGAGGGAGGGAGGGAGGGAGAUAGGGAGCAAAAUAGGAAGUAAGGAAUGAGAGAUGGGUAGUGUUGGUGUUAUGAAUAUGGGGCAGUGAAAAGCUAGGGAAGUUGUUGAGGUCGUAGGGAAGUAACCAAAGUGGGAAUGUGUGAGUGGGGGAUGAGGAGGUUUCCAUAGUUGGCUGAAAGACACAAUCAAACGACGAUUUAUUGUCAAUAAUGUGUGAAAUAUCUAUGAGAUAAACAACAAUUUUAAACGUGAAGUAUCAAAAGUGGUGGGGGUAAGGAUGCCCAAUUAAUGAAGUAGUGUGAGUUCUGUUUUGACGAUGUACGUCGAUUGUGAUAUCGGCCCAGGCAACGUGUUAGGUGUAUAUGGAGGUCAGAUGAAAUGUUGGAUCUUCAUUAAAUAUUAUCAGUAGAAGAUUUAGAAAAAAUUUCAACAAUUUUCUUAAACUUUGGAAAGAAUGUGAUAACUUAAAAUUUAUACAACAAAGGGACAAUCAUGAAUAUUUGAUGAAGUGAUCAAAUGAUCAAGUGAGUAUGAAGACUAUUUUGAGAGGCAAUGCAAAUUAUUGAAUGACAAGUGACUAUGGUGGUGUUUGUUUUUUUGGUUUAAUUCUAAAUAGAACUUACAUUUAACUUAAUACUAAAUAAUGUUUAAUAGUAUUAAGUAUUAAGUUGUUUGAUUUUUUAAUAUUUCUAUUAAGUGUUAAACACUAAUAUCUUAAUAUUUUAAUGUAUUAAAAAAAAAAUAAUUUAAAGUAUUUCUAAAAAGUUCAAAAUAAUAAAAUUGUUAUAAUAAAUAAUUUAUCAUUAUUAUCCUUACAAAAAAUAAUUAAUAUAUUUAUUUUUUAUAUAAUUAAAAUAAAAUAUUUAAACUUAAUAAUCUAAAAAAUAAUGGAUUGAUAAAACCUAAAUCAAAUCAAAGAAAAAAACAUAACAAUUCAAGUACAUAUUUUCAAAUAUCAAAACACAUCACAUUUUAUGCUAAUAUCUAAACAUUGCAUUUCUUACAAUGGUAAAAAGCUAAAAAUGACAAGUUAAUUAAAUACUUGAAAAAGUUCAUUUGUGAUUUGGUCUCAAAACCGUUGCAUGAAUUCUUGAUCAGAUGCUGCAAAAAAACUACUUGUAGUUGAAUUUUGAUUUUGAUUUGUAUUGUCACUUUCCAAUUCCACUUCAUUGUCAUAUUCAGAAAAUAAUCUAUCUGCAACUGAGAUUUGUCGAAGAAAAUUGUGAAUGGAGAAGCAUGUCAUGACAAUUUUUGUUUGAGUAGUAAACAAAUAAGGUGUCAUUCUCUUUAAUAUUGGGAAACACGCCUUAACAACACCAAAAGCACGUUCAAUGACAUUUCUUAAUCUUGCAUGACAUUGGUUGAAUAUCUCCCUUUUUCCUCUAGCUUUAUCAUCACUAUGAAAAUCACUCAACCCAAAUUAAAUUCAAAUAGUAGCAUUAAAUUAGAGAUGAUAAAUAUAUAGUUUGGAUAAUGGAAGAAUAGACAACAAAUAUCAAUCCAUUCACAUCUAACCAUUCUAUGUAGAGAAUGAAUUCAUCUAACACAAGAAGCAUUAAAACCCAAAUUAUGCCAACAACACCUAAAGACAGUUUAUAAAAACUGUCCAAAGUCCCUUAAGAUGAUUUUUUUUAAAGCAUUCAAAUAUGGACAUGCACAAAGAGGAAGGUAGGAAGGGUGGGAAGCAUAUAUAUAUAUAUAUAUAUAUAUAUAUAUAUAUAUUUUUUUUUUUUUUCAUUUCUAAAAUUAUUGCCACCUCCAUCUGGUAGUUGGCUGACAAACCAACACCAAAUGAGCUGGGUCAGUCCCAACUGAAAUCUGCUCUGUGACCCGGGAGAGCUGCACUUGUGAGAGGAGUGUGAGAAAGAGAGAGAGAGAGUGAGGUGUGUGUGAAAGAAAUGGUCUGAGUUGUUUGUGAAAUGAAAUAAACCUCCUAUAGUCUUUAGACUGAAUAAUGGUUGUGUGCAGUGCAGAAUUCAGAUUGUGGAUGGAUAAUCAAGUGAAAGAAAAGCAAAACAAGGGGUUCAUCUCAUUGAUUGACAAUGCUGUUCCUCUAUAUGACCGAGAAUAUGCAUUGGGUCUAACUUCAAUGGAUUAUUUGAAUAACCUGGAAAGGUAAUGGAUUUACAUUUAAUAUGUGUAUUGCUGCUUCUUCAGAUAUAUAUGCAAUGAAAGAUUAAAAAAAAAGAAUAAAAAAUUAAAACAUAAAUAUAUAUAGGUGUUUGACACGGUUACCUCUUGAAUUUUAUCCCGCAACAUUUCUGUGUGCUGCAAUAUCACUGUUGGUUUUAAGAUUGUUGUGAGUGAUUGACACAGAAAAGUUUGACAGUUUUAUUGCAUAAACUUUGGCAUGCUUGGGUGAUAUCAUCUUCUGUGGUUGAAAAAGUCUUAAUGCUCAUUACCAUCAGAUCCCUAGCUCCCCUCCUAAUGUCUUAAUGCCUGGGAUAGGGUUGUGACUUUUUCACAUUACAUGGAUGCUUCAGAUUUUGUGGAGUACCUUUUCAGGCAUGAUAAGUGAGCAUGGAAUGAGACGUGUGUUUAGAUUUUCUCCUUUUCAGAUCCAGGAUCAAAUAAAAAACAAGGGAGUACUGAACUUUAACAAUUCUUCCAAAAUAGUAUGAAAAAAAACAAAACAAAACAAAAAACAAUCUUCUCUAGCUGUUUUCAACUACCCUCUUUCCUCUGUUCUUUCACAUGUAUACUAUUUUCUUCAUUUGUUUUAUCAUUUUCAUCCAUCUGUAACAUGUUGGGUGCUCAGUUUUCUUCACUAAGUAUGAACAAAGAAGUCCUCCUAGGGAGUCAUUGUCUCUAAUUAUCAUCCACCCCUUUUAGUCUAUUACCCAUUAUUUAAUGGGGCAUGAAAAGACCAUCCCCAAGAAAAUGACAUCAUGUUGGAGCAUUGACGUGCCCAAACAACAUUGGUUUGCCUGUGCCUACACCAGAGAUUUGUUUGGCAGAGUGAAAUCAAAUUUUACUUUUUGUACUUGUUUGAUUUACCUCUUAACAAGUGUGGGAUUCCAUAAACUAAACACUCUCCUCAAUAGAAGAACAGAUUUGUCGUGCAGUUGAAAACUCCUCUCCAUUCAAUUUAUGAGUUCAAUAAUAGCUGACUUGGAGAUUGCUAGUGUGGUCUCAACAACCAUGUGCAGUAGAUGAGAAAAUUCUUGGAAGUGAUUUCGUGGAGUAUAAUCAUGUGAUUCUAGAAGCUAAAGACACCCAGAAGCUAUGUUCAGGUAACCCAGGCAAAAGAAAGCUUUACAACCCUUAAUAUCUUUAGCCCAACUCUUGAUUGAGUUGAAAUAACCUGUUCUCUCCUACUUAAAGACACCCUUUUUAUACACAAAGUUUUUCGAAAUUGUCAGGAAUGUCAAUAGGUAUAAUUAUUUUGCUGAAUGUUGAAGUAUUCUAAAUACUCAAGGUUUAGCCUAUUCAUAAACAUUUCAUCCAAGUUCCAGAGUCUUAACACUACCCUCUAGAGGAUCACAAAUGUUCCAUGCCCAUCUAAUGAGGGUUUUGGACAGUGCCAUUAGCAAUUUCCUAAACACAGUUGGAGCCUUACUCUAGAACCAUCUAUAAAUCCUGGCAGAGGAUUCAUUUCUGUAAUUCACACUUGCCUAUAUAGGUGCCAGGAAUGUCAAAAGACACUACACAACUGCUGGUGUGCCCCAACCAAUAAGGUGCAAUGUAGAACAGAAAUGUCUUUGAGUGUGUUCUUAGGAAAAAACAAAAACCAAAAUGACCCUUCAAUCUACACACAUGAAUGCAGCCUUGUUUCAUUUGACAACAUCCCACUAUAUUUAACAUGGAGAGAUUUUACGACAAAUAUAUAUCACACUACUUUUAUUCCCAGAAACCAGGUUUUCAUCAAGUUAUGGUUCUGGGAGUAAAUCAAACUCCUCAUGCUUGGGAGGAAUAAUUUUAUUUUUGAUUAUCACUUCACACAUGCACACAUAUACAUUUGAUUAUCACAAUAGAAAAGAUUGUUUCCAGCAACCAAGUACAAGUGAAUGACAGAGCUUCACUUUGCUCAUUGGACAAGUGAAUGACACAGUACAUGAGCAACAAAAAACAAUUCAAGCAGGCAGAAAACAGCCCACAAAAUCACACAUAGUUCUUCAAAGCUAGAACCGAAACACACGAAUGCAUUCACAAAACCCAUGAGCAUCUCUACAAAAUUCAUUGAACCUGUAAACCCAUCAAAAGUGACUUGGACAAAAAGAAACCAGAUCACUCAAAAAAAUAAAAUCUGCAUUUUAGUUCAAUUAGAUUCUAAAAAAUUCCUAUUAUCUUUUCCUUUGUAGGUUCCAAACCCACUCCUACAAGAUCAAAAUUCCCCACAAAAUCCCAAAAUAAACCAUUGGCAUGAGAAUCAUAAAGAAUCAUACUAGAGAAGAUAUUAAUAAACCAUUUCCAAACAGAAAACAACUACCUAUGGUUUAACCCCAUUGUUGAGAAAGAGCAAGAACGAAAACUGAAACCUAAAUAAAGAGAGAAAAUGGGGAAGACAUUACCUUGAAAAAGCUUGGUGAGGGUUGUGGAACCAAUGAGCUACACAGGGAUGAGGUGAGGGUUGGGGAUCACCGGUUGCAAUUAAGACUAGAGAACUACAAGGGAUGGACGUUAGGCGUUGGGUUGCAAUUGUGAUUUGGGGGAGGUUUAAAAAACUUGUUUUUUCUAUUUAGAAAAAAACCAAAUAUUUUGGUUUUUUCUAUUUAGCCAAAAAUUUUAAAAAUUCAGUAAUAAGUCAUCAAAAACUAGAAAAACAAACAACCUAAAUUUUGAAAGCAAAAUGCUUUUAGCAAAAAGCCAAAAAAAACAAACGCCACCUAAUUAAGUCUCAUGCCAUUUGUCAAAAGAGGCUUUAACACUCAUGCAAGUUCUUUUUAUCCAAGUAAUAGAAGUGUAACGGUCGACAUCGGAGUUGGAGAUUGAUGUUGAAACCAUUUAUAAUCGCUUACUUGUGUCCUCAUAGCUUUAAAAAACAUUUAUAAGAUUAAGAGCAGUCCAUACUUAUAUAGUGUAAGAAAUUUUCUCUCAUAUUCGAUGUUGAAUAUCACAAAAAAUUGAUUAAUUAUAUUUUUGAUAAUGAGAUAGUUAUGAUUCAAUGUGUAUAAUUGGUUGGAUUUGGCUUUGAAACCAUAAAGAGGUAAAGAAGUUGAAUGACAAUAAGUACAUGUAAUUGCAAUACACUCAAAUCUUUUAAAUAUAUACAUAAACAUGACUAUACAAGAGAUGCAUAGAUUAUACAAAGAAUACAUACAUUGUUCCUAAACUUAAGGGUAAUGAUUGAUUGCUCUUGAUUUGUGAGUGAGUUUGAUUCUCUCAUAAAAUACAUUUUUUAAAAAUUUCUUCAUAUUUUUAACAUUCUCUCUCUCUCUCUCUUUCUCUCUCUCUCUUUUUAAUACGAUAAUUAUUUUUUUAAUAUUUUUUUUUCUUGUUUAGUGCUUUUCAAAAAUCAAACAUAUAGCCUAAAAAAUUUAAAAAUAUUCAUAUUUUUGUUUAGAUAGAUCAUAUCUAAGAUUUUUCAAAAAUAAUUUUUUUUUUCUAAUUUGACAAUUAUUUUAUUUUUUUAAUCAAAUAUUGCUAAUGAAACUAGGGUUGUUUUUUGAAGUUACCUCUACCCAAUUCAUUUUUUAAACUAACAUUUUGCCAAUCUCAUCACCAUAGACAUGCAUCAACCACUCUAGCACUUCAAUAAAAUUAGUAUGACCAUGAAUUAGAAUAUACAUACUGUUGUCGCCUCGCGUAUCAGGUGGACCACGUUGCUGCUAGAUGGAUAGACACGCGAUUCUCAACACACAAAGGGUUCUUGAUUCAGCGUUUGUACCUGCAAAAAGGCAUCCGGACAGGGUGUCCGGACGCACCCUCCGAUGGUUUUGUUAGCCAUGGUGAGGGAGAGAUAUAUAAAUCAGUUGGCCUUUUACUAGGUAUCAAGAGGUUACCAGGGGAUCAACCCUUUCUUCUUCGUGUGAAGUCAUAUAUAUACAGCUUCAGGGGUACUGCUCCUUUCAUUAAUGGUGAGGAGAUAUUUUAUGUUGUGAUGAUGAUAAUAGGUGUUAGUAGGAGCACUAUCAUCCUACGAAUGGCUGUCAGAGAUCGUGGUAGGUGAUGUGGUUGUCAGAGAUCGUGGGGAGUGAUUAUGUAGAAUGAUCGUGGGAAGUGACUUGCUGUCACUUCCUCUUGUCUUCUCAUUCUGCAGGUGAUGGGAUGGGGACCAUGGCUGCUUGUUGUGAUUGCGUGUAAGACUCGCUUUACUUUAAUUGACCAUCCAGACGAUUUAUAUCCGGAUGGAUCAUGCUGAUUAUCCGGAUGUGUUGUGGAGACUAUCCGGAUGUCUAUGCUCUGCCAGCGUCGUUUGCUCUUCCUUGGAUAGGAGAAGCUGAAACGUCGUUUGCCUUUCCCUGAGGUGGUCCGGAUAGGAUAACUGCACCAUGCAUAUCCUUAGGGGAAUCCGGAUGAUGAUGGUCCGGUUGAUAACACGUGCCACGCGUCACCAUGAGCUGCGUGCCACGUGUUUCCCAAGGGGAGGGGUCCCUACAUUGCCCCCCUUUUUAACUUGCCUAUUUUGCCCAAAAAAUGGGCGGGUUAAAAAUAACUGGGUUUUUGAAAAUUGAAAAAGUCCCUUCGACUGACUGGGCCACGUGGCGAGUGGGGGUGCGGAAGCCAAAAAGGCAUUUAUGACGAGCCGCCGACCCUGUGUAUCCCCAGGCAAUAUGUCGUUUCAAUGAUAACAUGGCUGUUGGUUUGGCUUUCCGAGGGGCUGUCCUGCUAUAAAUAGGGCACUGUACCUCUUUUUGCAAUUUUUCCUACUGCAUUCUCUUGAGAGCCUUUCUUCUUACUGCUUUUUCCUGCGUCCUUUGCUUCUAUGAGACAAACUUCGAAAGCUCUUUUGUACCGGUGCUUUUGUAUCGUGACUUUGUUUGUUUGCUGCUGGUGAUUUUGUAUCAAGGCAGUACCCGUUCUUCUUCUUCGGUGCUUUAUUUGGUACGUACCUCUUUGCUACUGCCAUUCCUUUGGUUGCAUUUGCUGGCUCUUUAAAUUUGUUUUCUGGCUUGCUUGGGUGUUGUUUUGGACGAGUCGUUUGCAAUUGUUGUUGAAUGUUGGUACUUUGUUGUUGUUUGGAGGGGUUUUUGAGGGGUUUUUCUGACUGUUUUGGGUUAGGGUUUGUGUAUUUUCUGACUACUUGGUUUGAUUCGUUGUAUUGCUUUUGUAUGUAGAUUUUGAUUUAGCUUUGUGGUAAGAAAUGGCUCCAAAAAAGACUGUUUCAUCUGUCCGGGUUAGCGAAGCUAGCGAAAAGGCGAUAAACAAAUUAAAUGCGAAGGAGUUCCGGGAGCGAUUCUGCAUCCCCCAUGACGUAUUGAUAGACUUGGUGAACGAGGAGGCGGCUAUGCCUACUGAGAAAGGUGGAGAAAAUGUUAUCCUCUUCACAAAGGAACAAUUCAACGCGGGGCUCCGGUUCCCUCUGCCGGCGUUGUUCAAGGAAUUCCUCCACUUCUCUCAGAUUCCACCCAUCUUCAUUCAUCCCAACCUUGUCCGGGUGCUGAUGGGAUGCAGCAUCAUCAACAUGCUGUACAGCCUCGACCUGACGCUACUGGAAGUGUUCUUUGUCUAUUCCCUGAAGAAAGCAAAGACUGAUAUCUUCAGUGUGUCCGCGCACCUGCCCUCCCUUCAAAUGGUGACAGAGCUGCCAGAUUUGACAAAGGGAGGGGCGAGGGGGCUGGUGGCAGUCCGGGGUGGAUGGGCGGGGCUAUCGGAGCAUCCGUCGAGGCCUUUUUCUCCAAAUUAUACCUUAAAAAUUCCGGGUAAUCUUGUUUUGCGAUUUUUUUUUUUUUUUUUUUUUUGUCCGGAUUUUGCUUUGCUAAUUUUUUCUGAUUUUUCCGGACUGAACUCUCACCUUUUGUUGCUGACAAUGCAGGUUUGGAAUUGAGGGGCCACCUUGUGGAUUGGGUGGAAAAGGCGUCCUUCGCCUGCGUCUGCAAAUUAUUCGAAAUAGAUCCCAAGGAGAGGGCCUACAAAACAUUGCUUUCCGCGCGGAAUUUGAUAGAGGUCGUCCGGGAGCCCCAGGAAUAUGUUAUCAAUAUUCUUCCUAGGAAACUGGCAAAUGAUGAGAUAGUGCCUGGGGAGCAUUAUACUGUGAAGGAGCUCCCCCUCUAUCAGGAAGCUAAAGAGGCUGACGCUGAAAGGCGGCGAAAGCUCCUGGAGGAUAGAGAUCAGAAAAAAACUGAAGGCACUAUCCGGAAGGCUCCCGGACAGAAGGGGGGUCCGGACCCUCCUUCAAAGAAAAUUCCAGGAAAGAGGGGGAAGCUAGUGAAGAAGCAUGGGAAGGAUGUGAAGGAACCCACUCCUCCCAAGGAGUUUCCUCCUCCACAAACUACCUAUGAGGGGGAAGUAAUGAUAGAGGAGCCAGUAAAUGCUGCUCCGCACUCUAUCUCAAGCGGCCCCGGACGCAUGUCGGGGUUGUAUCAUUCAGGCCCUUCCUUAGUCGCGGCUGCGCGUCUGGCUAACGUGGCUGAGGAAGCCGCAUCUAUCAACCAUCCGGGCAACCUUAAUCCGGAUGCUGAUGCAGCUGAAAUGGCCCCGUUGGAGGAAGCGGGGGCAGAAAGCCAAAGUCAGCCUUCCGACGACCCGGAUCGCUUGGCCAUAGUCCUGGUGAAAGGUCUUCCUCUCAAGAAGCCGCGUUUGACGCGCGAUCUACAGUCCGGACUCUUUGAGCGGCUUCAAGAGCGGCAGCAAGAGAUUGAAGUUAGCUGCGCUUCUGCCCAUGACGCUCAUCCGGAUGGAGGCGAGGUGGAGAUGGCAACUGAGACCUCAGCCGCCCCGGCAAUAAUUCCUGCUCAAGAUGCAUCCGGACACAUGUGUUCGGACGAAGAUGUGGGGGUUCCGAUUCCGGGACAAGAGUUACCUUCUGCUUCCUCAUCUGAGGAAGAACCUGCUGACGAUGCCGUUCCUGCUAGCCCCUUCAGCUACGCGGAGUUGGAAGUUAAGUUAAAGCAGAUUACUCCUGAUUGGAAAGCCAUCAAGCCCUCUACUAAGAUGUUUGAUAUGAUAGAAACGGUACACCGUUGUCUUGUGCUUUUGCUUUUUGAUUUUUUGUUGCACUGAUGUGUUUGUUGUAGUAUGACUUAUGUGUUUGCUUUUCUUGUUUGUGUGUCAGCUGGUGAGGGGCCUCCGCGGCAUGGCUCAACAACACGAUCUUUUUACUCAGCUGCUGCAGACUGCAGACUAUAUGAAGACCUUUUCCUCUAGGCGCCAAGAGAUUGAAAAUCAACUGCAUCUGAGAAUGGAGGAGGCUGAGGCCAGUCUAUCCACCAUGCGAGAGGAAAAUGAAGCCCUCCGAGUGGAGUUGGCUGAGGCGAAGGGUCGAGAAGAAUCAACUGCGGGCCGCCUUCAUGAGGCGGAGGGUGAGGCAGCCCGGCUAAGGGAUGAAUUGAGUCAACUCCGGACAGAAGUUUUGAAUGAAAAGAAACAGAAGGAAGACUUGCAGCUGCGUCUGGAUGUGCAAAAAGAGGAACUUGAACGGGAGUUUGCUGUGGAAAGGGAGGAACUUGCAGCGGAUUACCAGCAACAAGUGGAUGAUACGUUUAUCUUUGGGUAUCGCUGCUGCAUGAAGAAGAACGGCAUCAAGCGAGAUACCCCUUCAAUUCCUCCGGGUGAAGAAAAGAAGCUAUAUGAGAAGCCCGCUCCCUGAUAGUUAUCUCUUUUUGCAAUUUUUCUGCUGUAAUUUUUCCUUCUGUCUUUUUGUGGUCCGGAGAUCUCUUUGUAAUUACAUCUAUUUAUAUCAAUAAAAAUAUAUUUCUUUCUCAUUUGUACUUGUGUCUACUUUUUAUUGAUAGUACUGCUUUAAAUUGGACACAUUCCAUGGUCUGAGUAACGGAGUACCAUCUAGCUUUUGCAAAUGAUAAGCUCCAUUUUCGUUUGCUUUAGACACUAUGUAGGGUCCUUCCCAAUUGGCUUGGAACUUUCCAACGCCUACUUCAGUAGUAUUUUCAAAAACUUUUCUAAGUACUAGCGUACCAUUUUUGAAGUUUCUGGGCCUGACUUUUCGAUUGUAAUGCGCUGAUGCCCUUUGUUGAUAAUCUGCCAUCCGGAUGGCCGCGCUUUCUCUGACUUCGUCUGCCCAGUCCAAAUUUCUUCCUAGUUCCGUGUUGGCAUCUUCUUGUUUUGCUGCAUCGGUCCGGAUAGUAGGAAGACCUAUUUCAGUGGGAAUGACUGCGUCCAUUCCAUAUGUGAGGGCGAAAGGAGUGUUUCCUGUCGGCCGUCCGGGUGUGGUUCGAUAGGCCCAUAGGACGCCGGGUAGCUCCUCCACCCACUUCCCUUUGGCUUGCUCAAGCCUUUUCUUUAAGGCAUUGAUUAGAGUUUUGUUUGUGGCUUCCGCUUGCCCAUUGCUUUGAGGAUAGCGUGGCGUGGAGUAUGAAUUCCGGAUAUUUAGUUCCGAACAGAAAUUCCUGAAUGCAAUGCUGUCAAAUUGUGGACCAUUGUCAGCUAUGAUGAUUUGGGGAAUUCCAAAGCGGCAAACAAUGUUCUUCCAUACGAAUUUGGUGACAUCUUUAUCUUUGAUGCUUGCAUAUGCUUCAGCUUCUACCCAUUUACUGAAGUAAUCAGUGGCGAUAAGGAGGAAUUUCUUCUGGGCAGGUGCUGCUGGUAGGGGUCCCACUAUGUCCAUGCCCCACUGCGCGAAAGGCCAUGGGCCUGAGACCGAUUUCAAUGCUGCUGAUGGCAUAUGUGGAAUGGGAGCGUAUCUUUGACAUUUAUCACACUUUUGGACAUAUGCUGCCGCGUCUUUCUUCAUUGUUGGCCAAUAGUACCCUUGUGAAUGAGCUCUAUGUGCUAGGGAUCGUCCUCCCGCAUGAUUUCCGCAUAUUCCUUCAUGUAAUUCAGCUAGCACAUACUGGGCCUCUGAAUGCCCAAGACAACGAAGAUAAGGCCCUAUGAAAGAUCGCUUGUACAGGUGCCCCCCGAUCAGGGUGAAGCGGGCAGCCUACACCCGGAUUUUGUGCGCUUGUUUAAGAUCUUUGGGUAAAGUGCCUGUCCGGAGAUAUUCUGCAAUGUCAUGCGUCCAUUCUUGAUUAUCCGUUUGGGUUGCCUCAACGGUGUUGCAAGUGGAAUUUUCUACGACAGAGGGAUUGGCUUGCACAUGUAUGGGCAAUAGAAUGGCUUCUUUGAUAGGUAGAGAGGCAGCUAUGCCGGCCAAAGCGUCAGCGUGCCUAUUGUCAGCUCGCUUAAUUUUUUCGAUUGUCCACUCGGUGAAUUGCUGUAAGGUGCUUCUUACUUUGGCCAAGUAUCGCGCCAUGCGUGAGUCUUUAGCCUCAUAUUCUUUCUGGACGUGCCUUACCACUAGUUGCGAGUCGCUGUAGAUCCGGAGUUUGGAGACGGAUAGAGCAAGGGCGAGGUCCAAUCCGGACAGGAUGGCCUCGUAUUCUGCUUCAUUGUUAGACGCGGAGAAUCCCAGCCGGAUGGCUUGCUCCAGAUGUUCCCCAGUUGGGGACUGUAGUAAGAGCCCAACUCCAGAGCCUGAUGAGCGUGAGGCUCCGUCAACUCGUAGUGUCCACCACUCUUGUUCACUGGAUUCGUGGUGCUGGUUGGGUCUUCGUGAAUAUUCGAGCACAAAGUCGGCCAUUACUUGGCCUUUUUUGGAUAAUCUGGGUUGGAAUUCGAUUCCAAAUUCGCUUAAUUCGAUGGCCCAUUGUAGCAUUCGCCCAGUUAAAUCUGGUUUGUGCAGAAUGCUACGAAGGGGUUGGUCGGUCAGUACAAUCACUGGGUGGGCUUGAAAAUAGGGGCGGAGCUUUUGGGCAGCACUUCGAAGAGCUAAGGCUGUUAGCUCCAUUUUUGAAUACCUGGUUUCUAUAUCUGCCAAUGCCCUGCUGACAUAGUAGACGGGUUUCUGCUCCUUUGGUGAAGGGCAGCGGAAUAGAACGGCGCUGAUUGCCCAUUCUGAGACAGCUAGAUACAUGUAUAGCUUCUCCUUUGGGAUGGGGCUGCUCAAGAUGGGUGGAUGCAUAAGACAAUGUUUAAUUCUUUCCAACGCGUUUUGGCAAUUGUCCGUCCAUCCCUGCGUUCCAGUUUUUCGUAUCGCCAAGAAGAAGGGUCGCAACUCAUCAGUGAAGCGGGCUAUGAAACGCCCUAACGCAACGAGCUUGCCUGUGAGGCGUUGUAACUCCUUUUUGUUCCUGGGAGGAGGUGUCUCCAUGACUGCUUUGACUUGAUCCGGGCUGACUUCUAUGCCUCUUUGGCUGACCAUAAAUCCCAGAAACUUGCCAGCACUCACGCCAAAGGCACAUUUGGAAGGAUUUAGCUUCAUGCCAUAUUUUCGCAAGAGAUAAAAAACUUCUUGUAAAUGGAGGAUAUGCUGCUCUCGAGUUUUGCUUUUAACCACGAUAUCGUCAAUGUAUACCUCGACCGAGCGGCCUAUCAGAGGUUUGAAGAUUGUAGUCAUCAAUCUUUGAUAUGUGGCGCCAGCGUUUUUGAGUCCGAAUGGCAUGACUUUGUAGCAAUAGAGGCCGUGUGGCGUUAUGAAUGCUGUUUUUUCUUCGUCAUCCGGGGACAUGGGGAUUUGAUGAUAUCCGGAGAAGGCAUCUAAGAAAGAGAGCAUCCCCUGCCCGGAAGUGGAAUCCACAAUCUGAUCUAUUCGCGGUAAGGGGAAACUGUCUUUUGGACACGCAUUGUUGAGGUUGGUGUAAUCUACACAAACUCGCCAUUUUCCUUCUUUUUUGGGUACCACGACUACGUUUGCCAGCCAAUCCGGAUAAGAAACUUCUCUGAUGAAUCCGGCUUCGAGCAAUUUAUCAAUCUCGUUCCGGAUGAUUCUUUGUCUAUCCGGGUGGAAGCGCCUAAUCCUCUGUCGAACGGGUCUGGCUGCUGGAAAGAUGUUAAGCUUGUGAGAGGCAAUAGAGGGAUGAAUUCCCUUCAUAUCCGAAUGUGUCCAUGCGAAGAUGUCAUGGUUGCUUUGAAGGAUAUUUUGCAUGCUCUGAGUUUCUUCUUGUGUCAUGAGGGAACUUAUGUUUGUGAGGUGAUCAUUCUCUUCUGAGAUUUGGAUUGUUUGUAAGGGAUCUGCUGCCGGGGGAUCCUUGUCCGCCGGACCCAAUAAUUGCUAUUGGUCAUGCGUAUGGCUGGGUUCAGGGGGAACUGCAUCCUCCUGACUAGUUCCCGCCUCUCGUGCUAUUUGAUAGCACUGACGAGCGGCUAACUGGCUGCCAUACAAGUCAGUUUGUCCUUUGUUGGUGAGGAAACUCACCAUUUGAUGAUAUGUGGAAGGGAUGACUUUCAUGUAGUGAAGCCAUGUGCGUCCCAAGAUGACAUUGAAGGGUGAUAACUCUUGUACCACUGAGAAUUGCACGUUGAGAGUGACUGGGCCAGCUUGGACCGGCAGUAUAAUGUCUCCUAAGGACGUGGUUGAUGAUCCGUUGAAUCCGGAUAAGAUUCGUCCGGGGUUUUCGAGACCCGCGAGACUGUGUCCCAUAUGGCCAAUGACUGAUGCUUGUACCAGAUCGGCUGAACUGCCUGGGUCAACCAAGAUACGUCUUACAUCGAAAUCUCCUAUUUCUAGGGAGAGGAUGAGGGCGUCGCGAUGUGGCUGUAGCGUCCGGGUGGGAUCUGCUGGUGGGAAAAUGAUUGUCCCAUCUAUAGGGCGAGGGCCCUCUCCAGUAAGACCCGGCCGGAUGGAAUUAAUGCGUUCGCGUAUUGACGCGGCUCGCAGCAAUUUCUGCCUUUUCCGUCUGGAAUCGUAUUCCUCGUCAGAUGGGCCCCCAUUGAUAUAGUUUAUGACAGCCUUGGGGGCGACUGGGGCCCUUGGGGCCCCAGAGUUAUGAUGUUGAGAUAUGUCCCUUCCUUCAGUAUCUGGGCGGAUGUACUGUUUUAAAUGUCCUGCUUUGAUGAGCCUUUCAACUAGAUACUGGAGGGACCGACAUGUCUCUGUUGUAUGACCAUGGUCUUUGUGAAAGGCGCAUUUCUUGCUGCGGUCUCUUAUGGAUGGGUCCGUUUCGAGGGGUCUAGGCCACCUGAAUUCGGACAACCCUUGGAUCAUUGGGAGAAGUUUUUCGUAUGAUACGGAUAGGGGUGUGAUGGGCAGCCUAUCCGGACGACUCGGCCCGUCCUGCCUCCGGUCAAUUGGUUUUGGCCGGUCCGGAGGUUUGGCAUGUCUGUCCGUGUUAUCUCUAGAAGCCCGUCCGGCAACCAAAACUUGCUGGGUGGCUGCACGUACGUCAUCUUCGAGCAUUGAAUAUUUGUUAGCACGUCUGAACAAAUCGUCCAUCGUUGUAGGAGGCUUUUUGGCCAGCGAUUCAAAAAAUGGAGUGCCUGGACAGAUGCUUCUUUUGAAGAUCUGUAGGACAGCAUCCAUGCUGCAAACCUCUAUUUGGAGUACGGCUUGGCCAAAUCGUUUCACAAAUUCCCUCAAGGAUUCGUUGUCUCUCAUUUUUAUGUUCUGGAGGGUGCUGAUAUUCUGCUUGUGUCGAGCAGAGCACAAGUACUGUCCCACGAAUACUUCAGAGAGGUCCCUGAAAUUGUCAACAGAGUUAGGAGGUAGGCGAUGAAACCAUGAGAGGGCCUGCCCUUGAAGGCUGGCGGGGAAUACUUUGCAUAGCAAUGCAUCGUUGCCAAUAUCGAGCGUCAUGAGCUGUCGAUAGUGCAUGAUGUGAUCAAAGGGAUCGUUGGUCCCAUCGUAGGUGGAAAACUUUGGUACGAGGAAUCCCCUUGGGGGCUCGUAAUGGGUGAUAUGAGAGCAAAAGGGCGUGGAGAGCAUGUCAUCCAGCCUUUUGCUGAUGGAGCCAAUGGGUGGCUCGUUUGGGAGGUUUCUCCCAGCUGGUCGUUCCGCUAGGUGUGAGUGAACGUUCCGCAUCGCUGGGGUGACCAUGGGGUCACGAUGCGGAGGUACGUUCUGCACCAUGGGAGCGAUCAUAGGAUCGGGGCGUGGUGCCCGGGUUGUGGCUACUGGUGGCUUUGAUCUCCCAGGCUCUUGUGGGCCUAGUCUUGCGCGCAUAGAACUUGACAACUGUGAUUUUCUAUCACGUUGUCUUUUUGCUGAAAAAUGAGUGGAAUCUGAGCUUUCCUCACGGGGAGCUCGAGGCAUGGGUGUGCGUGGCUCAUGGGGCCUUGCGUUGUAUGCUCCUGGGACAGCUCCUGUUGACCCAGGAUAUAUUGAUUCUGGCUCUGGCCUUGAGUUUGCCACCUGGCCUCUUGAACGCUGACGACGAGGAGGACCUGACGUUGAGGCUUGAAUGCGUAACACCGCGUUUUCUUCCCUUAACCUCUCCGUCUCCUGGAGGAGAGCUCUUAGCUGUUUUUCGCUCGCCAACUGUCUUUUUUCGAUGGCUUGACGCCAUUCGUGAUUAUCUUCCUCCUUUCUACCAGAUGAUCGACUUUGGGAAGGUGUGGCCAUCUUUGCUAGUGACUGAAUCAGAAUAAAAAGUAAAAGAUUCCCACAGACGGCGCCAAUGUUGUCGCCUCGCGUAUCAGGUGGACCACGUUGCUGCUAGAUGGAUAGACACGCGAUUCUCAACACACAAAGGGUUCUUGAUUCAGCGUUUGUACCUGCAAAAAGGCAUCCGGACAGGGUGUCCGGACGCACCCUCCGAUGGUUUUGUUAGCCAUGGUGAGGGAGAGAUAUAUAAAUCAGUUGGCCUUUUACUAGGUAUCAAGAGGUUACCAGGGGAUCAGCCCUUUCUUCUUCGUGUGAAGUCAUAUAUAUACAGCUUCAGGGGUACUGCUCCUUUCAUUAAUGGUGAGGAGAUAUUUUAUGUUGUGAUGAUGAUAAUAGGUGUCAGUAGGAGCACUAUCAUCCUACGAAUGGCUGUCAGAGAUCGUGGUAGGUGAUGUGGUUGUCAGAGAUCGUGGGGAGUGAUUAUGUAGAAUGAUCGUGGGAAGUGACUUGCUGUCACUUCCUCUUGUCUUCUCAUUCUGCAGGUGAUGGGAUGGGGGCCAUGGCUGCUUGUUGUGAUUGCGUGUAAGACUCGCUUUACUUUAAUUGACCAUCCAGACGAUUUAUAUCCGGAUGGAUCAUGCUGAUUAUCCGGAUGUGUUGUGGAGACUAUCCGGAUGUCUAUGCUCUGCCAGCGUCGUUUGCUCUUCCUUGGAUAGGAGAAGCUGAAACGUCGUUUGCCUUUCCCUGAGGUGGUCCGGAUAGGAUAACUGCACCAUGCAUAUCCUUAGGGGAAUCCGGAUGAUGAUGGUCCGGUUGAUAACACGUGCCACGCGUCACCAUGAGCUGCGUGCCACGUGUUUCCCAAGGGGAGGGGUCCCUACACAUACAUAUAUAUAAGGCAAACGACCUUCCCAUUACCUCAUAACCAAAUCAAAGGUUUGAUCUAUUGCUAAAGUAAGCAGUAGUAUAAAAAAUUUACACUUUUCCCUAGUAUGUCUUUUGAUUCCCUCAAAAGUAAAUGACAUUUAUUUCUCUUAUGCUAUUUUCCUCAAAAAUUAAAUUAUAUGAUUUCGAAAAUGCUAAAAUCAAUUUCUUUUGCCCUCUAGUAAAAUUAGUAUGAGUAAUUAUCGUGAACAAGAAAAAGAGGAUUCAAAUGGUGCACUAAUAUACUAAAGUGAGUCUUCUUCCCAUCUCAUCAACCUAGAUAUAUAGAACCAAUCCUCCACCAACCUUCUUGUUACCUCAUAACCAAAUCAAAGGCUCUAUUCCUAAAGCAAGUAAUAGUAUAGAAAAAAGUACACUUUUCUUUACUAUGUUUUCCCCUCAAAAGUAGAGUAAAAACAAAGAAACUUACCUUUGUUUCCAUCAUGCUAUUUCCAUAAAAAAAAAAAGUUAAAUAAUAUCAAAAAUGGUAAAAUUAAUCGCCCUAACACUUCAGUACAAUUAAUAUGAUGAAUAAAAAAAGAGGAUUAUGAUUGAGCACUAACUUACUAAAAAGAAAAAGAUAAUUAACACCAAAUGAUCUUAUAAUAUUAAAUAAAUAAUUGAAAUGUUGAGGGGGAAUUUAAUGUGUAAACGCCCUAAGGGGGAUUUUCUUUUAGAUGUUAUUUUUAAAAAAAUAUUAUAAUAUAAUAAUUGAAAAGAUUAAUACAAAAAUAUGACAUUUUUACUAUAUUUUUUUUAUUUUUAUACUAAAUUCGUCUUUUGAAAAGAUGAGUCUAACUUUUAUCUUAAAACUUUUUUUUUUAUUUAUGUUGAACUCGAUAUUUUUAAUUACGAAUUCACUUUUUUAUUAUUUUAUUAUUUUUUAUAUUUAACAUACCUUUUGAAAUUGAAAAAUUAUGUCUCUUAAAAAGACAUUUGCAUUUGAAAUAAAAAAUAAAAAAUUACGAUAGUUUUAGAAUUAUUUUUCACGGCACGAAGGCCACUCAUGUUGAAAACCCUCUUUAAGGGGAUGGGUCCUCAAAACUUACUGAAGUUGUACUAUAUUUUUCCCCAUCUGAUCAGAGCAUAGGCUUCCACCACCAGCUUGGUAGAGGGACGUCUCAUUCACACGCCCCAUCAUCUCAGUAUAAUUUAUAACCAAAUUAAAUGUUCUGCAGUCUGUAGCUAAAAUAAGCAAUGGAAGACUGGAAACAAACACACCCAAACUCUAGAAGAUGAUGAUGAUAAGAUUUUUAACUCAUCUCUCUCUCUCUCUAAUGAGACUAAACUCAAGAGAGAGGUCAAUCUAAUUGUAUGAAAUUUAGAACUCGAAAUUAGAUAUGAUCAGUCAUAAGCUCUAAGCGCAAUAAAUAUUGUUAAUUAGUUUUAAAUAAACUGUUAGUCAUGACUACUUCACCAUGCUCGACUGAUCACUUAAAAGUGGAAAAGAAAUUAAUCAUAAUAAUUUGAGCUUAAAUGGAAAUAAUUAACAAAAUCAUUCAAGGUUUUAAAGAGUCAAUAAUGCCCUAAUCAAAUGAUCACUUUUUAGGAUUAAGAAUGAACGAGAAAGGAGAUUUAACGAUAUUUUGUGAGUGAUUCAAAUCUUUAGUUUUUCUUGUUAAAAAUAAUCUUAGGCUUUUCUUGUAAGUUAUGUUUGAUUUAUGAAAAGUAACAAGAGAAUGAAAAAAAAAUGAUAUAUUUUUAUGAUUGAAUUUCAUCGAAAAAUAAAAAAAAAAUAUUAUAAAAGAAAGGAUAAAAAUGUUAAAAGAGUUCUUUUUUUUUUUUUUGUAAAUUUUUUUUUAUCGAUGACAAAACAUCGUAUAAAAUUUUAUUAAUUUUUUUUUUUUACAUUUUUAAAAUUUAUCUUUAUUUCUUUUUUCCUUUCAAAUUUUCUAUGGCCUAACCUAACCUAAUGUAAAUUUUCUAUAAACUACUUUAAAUCUAUUAUUAGAUAUCGAUGUUGGCUUAUUAAAGAUUUAGUUGAGAUAACGAUGAUAUAAGUAAUUGAAGUAUUAGUAAUAAAUUAAAGCAUUAAUUGAAGUUCAAAUUAUGAGGAAAGUAAUGGAUUCACAUAAAAUUAAAUAAGAACAUGGGAAGAGAAAUUGACGUGCUACACUUAGAGAACUCAAUCAAACAUGGCAACAAAUAAUGGCUUUAUUGGAAUAGGUUAGAUGAAAAAUGAAAUGCAAAUGUAUAUAUCAUAACAAACAUCACAUAGAAACUUGAAAAAAUCACGUGGGGAUGUUAGUUAGAAUCGAGCUUGGGCUAGAAUUGAAGUAGGAACCGAAUUCAAUUUAAAAGAAAUUGAAGUUACAUUAUGAAAAAGUUAGAUGAUUAAUAAUAAAAUAAUAUUGGAUUGCGGAGUUUGAAUUAAUUUUGUUACGCUUUGUUUAGGAUGUUGGUGGUCGAGCUCCUUUCCGAGCUCAUGGGGGAUCAAACUGAUUGGUCAAUUGAAGAGACAACACAUUCUAAUUUUUUUUUAUAUGAUGAAUGACGAGUUUGCUCCUAUUAUAUAUUUAAUAUUAUUAUGUUUUUUAAGGUUUUUUUUAGAGGGCACAACCACAAUUGAGAGGUUUUUUUGGAGAUCUUUAUCAUUGUAAUCUAUUUAUUUUCUUUUGAUUAGUGAAUUGUUGAGUGUUAGUACUUUAUGUGGAUAUAGAAAUCACAUUGAUUUCCUAAUCACCUUCAAAAUCUCGUAUUUUUCUUUAUUUUCUUUUUGUAUAUAUACAUAGUUUUGGUUAACAAAUAAAGAGUAGUGGUAUGUGAAUAGAGUUGGUUUUUUUGAAGUCCUUGAAUUCUAAGGAAACUUACUAAGUUAAAAUGAUUUAUUUAGUCAUCAAAAUGUAAUAUUUAGUCAUCUACAUGUAAGUCAAGUGGGAAAACCAUAAGGAAAGAUAUGGUAAAUUCAUCGAAAGGUCAGAGGAAUAUUUUAAAGAAUUGAUGUAAAAAAAAAAAAAAAACAAAAGACUUAAUCUUAUGGAUCAAAUUAACCAUGAAUAAAAGGUAAUUUUUGAAAAAAAUUAUAUGUGAAAUCACUAUUGAAAAGCAUGAGGGAUAUUGAAAAACUCUGAGUUAAGAUGGUAAAAAGAAUUUAAUUGUAAAGAGAGGAAAAUGGAUAUAAUUUUAGAGGUAGCAAAUAUGUAUUUCUUGUAUAUGAGUAUUUAGCAAAUUUUUAUUUUUUACAUAUGAAUAUUUUAUUUAAAAUCAAGGUAUUUUUCAAGUUUUUGAUAGUGCUUAUUAAGACAUAUCAAAUAAGGGUGGCUGAUUGGUGUCAUUUGUUGACUGUCGUACCAAAAUCUCGGAUUGUGUAGUAGGCAAUCCAUUUAGCUUGCCAAUGUCUGAGAUUGUGUGUAACAAUUAAUUGGUAUUGACUUUUGAGUAUAAAUGGUGUCUAGUCCGUUGCUCAGACAUCAGACGUCUAGUCCACCACUCAAACGUUACGCGUUUAGACCGAUGCUUCAGACAUUAGGCAUGAUAGACCACACAUGCCAGAAAUUCUGAGAACUUGACUGGAUGGAUUUGCCCGUCUGAUAGGUCCAGCCGACUCGGUUUGUCCAUUAUGUCUAACAUUGUGGAAGAAGGAAAGUUUCUUACUUCUAGUGCCAGACAAAGCUCAUCUAAAUCCAAAUGGAGUGAUCCCAAAGGGGUUAUAUGUUUGCCCUGGACGACCAAAGGGUCUUGAGUCCGGGAAGGACAUGUGGAGGGAAGCCCCCCACACUAACACUUCAGUACAAUUAAUAUGAUGAAUAAAAAAGAAGGAUUAUAAUGGAACACUAAUUUACUAAAAAAGAAAAGAUAAUUUACACCAAAUGAUCUUAUAAGAUAAAGGGGAAUUUUCUUUUAAAUGUUAUUUUAAAAAAAAUAUUAUAAUAUAAUUAUUUAAAAGAUGAAUACAAAAAUAUGACAUUUUUAUUAUUUUAUUUUUAUUUUUAUACUAAAUUCGUCUUUUGAAAAGACGAGUUUACCUUUUAUCUUAAAACUUUUUUUAUGUUGCACUCGAUAUUUUAAAAUAGGAAUUCACUUUUUUUCUUUAUAUUUAACAUGCCUUUUGAAAUUGAAAAAUUAUGUCUUUUGAAAAGACGAGUUGUAUUUGAAAUUAAAAAUAAAAAAUUACGAUAAUUUUAAAAUUAUUUUUGACGGCACAAAAGCCACUUACCGAAGGGGAUGGGUCCUCAAAACUUACCGAAGUUGUACUAUAUUUUUCCCCAUUUGAUCAGAGCAUAGGCUUCCACCACCAGCUUGGUAGAGGGACGUCUCAUUCAGACGCCCUAUCAUCUCAUUAUAAUUUAUAACCAAAUUAAAUGUUCUGCAGUCUGUAGCUGAAAUAAGCAAUGGAAGACUGGAAACAGACACACCCAAAGUCUAGAAGAUGAUGAUGAUAAGAUUUUUAAUUCAUCUCUCUUCCCUCUAUCUAAUGAGACUAAACUCAAGAAUUUUUAAUUCAUCUCUCUCUCUCUCUAUCUAUCUAUCUAAUGAGACUAAACUCAAGAGAGAGGUCAAUCUAAUUGUAUGAAAUUUAGAACUCGAAAUUAGAUAUGAUCAGUCAUAAGCUCUAAGCGCAAUAAAUAUUGUUAAUUAGUUUUAAAUAAACUGUUAGUCAUGACUACUUCACCAUGCUCGACUGAUCACUUAAAAGUGGAAAAGAAAUUAAUCAUAAUAAUUUGAGCUUAAAUGGCAAUAAUUAACAAAAUCAUUCAAGGUUUUAAAGAGUCAAUAAUGCCCUAAUCAAAUGAUCACUUUUUAGGAUUAAGAAUGAACGAGAAAGGAGAUUUAACGAUAUUUUGUGAGUGAUUCAAAUCUUUAGUUUUUCUUGUUAAAAAUAAUCUUAGGUUUUUCUUGUAAGUAUGUUUGAUUUAUGAAAAGUAAUGAGAGAAUGAAAAAAAAAUGAUAUAUUUUUAUGAUUGAAUUUCAUCGAAAAAUAAAAAAAUAUGUUAUAAAAGAAAGGACAAAAAUGUUAAAAGACUCAUUUUUCUUUUUACUUUUUUAUCGAUAACCAAACAUCGUAUAAAGUUUUAUUAAUUUUUCAUAUUUUUUUACUUUUUAUUUUAAUUUAUUUCUAUUUUUUUUCUUUCAAAUUUUCUGUGGCCUAACCUAACCUAACCUAAAUUUUCUAUGAGCUACUUUAAAUCUAUUAUUAGAUAUAGAUGUUAGCUUAUUAAAGAUUUAGUUUAGAUAACGAUGAUAUAAUUAAUUGAAGUAUUAGUAACAAAUUAAAGCAUCAAUUGAAGUUCAAAUUAUGGGGAAAGUAAUGGAUUUGCAUAAAAUUAAAUGAGAACAUGGGAAGAGAAAUUGACGUGCUACACUUAGAGAACUCAAUCAAACAUGGCAGCAAAUAAUGGCUUUAUUGGAAUAGGUUAGAUGAAAAAUGAAAUGCAAAUGUAUAUAUCAUAACAAACAUUACAUAGAAACUUGAAAAAAUCACGUGGGGAUGUUAGUUAGAAUCGAACUUGGGCUAGAAUAGAAGUAGGAACCAAAUUCCAUUUAAAAGAAAUUGAAGUUACAUUAUGAAAAAGUAAGAUGAUUAAUAAUAAAAUAAUAUUGGAUUGUGAAGUUUGAAUAAGUUUUGUUGCAUUUUGUUUAGGAUGUUGGUGGUCGAGUUCCUUGCUGAGCUCAUGGGGAUCGAACUGAUUGGUCAAUUGAAGAGCAACCUAUUCUAAAGAAUUUUUUUUUAUAUGAUGAAUGACGAGUUUGCUCCUAUUAUAUAUUUAAUAUUAUUAUGUUUUUUAAGGUUUUCUUUAGAGGGUACAACCGCAAUUGAGAGGGUUUUUUUGGAGAUCUUCAUCAUUGUAAUCUAUUUUUUUUUCUUUUGAUUAGUGAAUUGUUGAGUGUUAGUACUUUAUGUGGAUAUAAAGAUCACAUUGAUUGCUUAAUCAUCUUCAAAAUCUCGUGUUUAUUUUAUUUUAUUUUAUUUUUAUUUUUUAUUUUCUUUUUGUUUAUAUACAUAGUUUUGAUUAACAAAUAAAGAGUAGUGGUGUGUGAAUAGAGUUAGUUUUUUUGAAGUCCUUGAAUUCAAGAGAGGAAACUAAGUUAAAGGAUUUAUUUAGUCAUCAAAAUAUAAUAUUAAUUAGUCAUCAAGAUGUAAGUCAAGUGGGAAAAACAUAAGGAAAGACAUGCUAAAUUUAUCCAAGGGUCAGAGGAAUAUUUUAAAGAAUUGAUUUUUUUUUUAAAAAAAAACAAAAGACUUAAUCUUAUAGAUCAAAUUAACCAUGAAUAAAAGAUACUUUUUGAAUAAAAUUAUAUGAGAAAUCACUAUUGAAAAGCAAUAUUGAAAAACUCCCUUGAAAGGAGUUAAGAUGCUAAAAUGAAUUUAAAAGUAAAGAGAGGAAAAUGGAUAUAAUUUUAGAGGUAGCAAAUAUGUAUUUUUUGUAUAUGAAUAUUUAGCAAAUUUGUAUUUUUUACAUAUGAAUAUUUUAUUUAAAAUCAUGGUAUUUUUCAAGUUUUUGAUAGUGCUUAUUAAGACAUAUCAAGUAUUUCAUUGGGAAGUAUUUGAAAUCUAUUCUCACUUUCUAAAAACUUUUUUUUUUUUUAAAUCUUUAGAAAUGCUUAAUUACUUUAUAUUAGUGAAAGAAAAAGGCUUCAUCGAUCUACAAAGUUUAGUGUAAACUAGUUUGAAUAAAAAUGUCAUUCAUCAUGGUCAUGAUUGACUUAAAGUUAGUGAAAGAAAAAAAAAAUAUACCUUCCUAACUUUUUCUUUCAAAAUAAAUCAAAGUAAUUAAGUUAAAUUAUUUAGGAUUUCAAAGGUAAUAAAAAUGAUAAUUUUAAUAUUCUAAUCAAGAAAGAGAUUAUGUGUAUUUUUGAAACCAGAAAACCUAUUUUUUAAUUGAAACAUAUUUUCUUAUUUUUUAUUCUCAAAAACAUAAACUAGUUUUUAUAAACGUUCAUGAAUAAACCCUUAAUAUUUUUAAAACUAAACUUUAUUCUUUUAUUUAAGAAUUAUUUUAUCCUUCAAAUAUAUAUUAAUAUCGAUUAUUAUCAAAAUUCUAUUUUCUUGCUUAUUUUAAAUUUUAAAGUUUAAACUUUAAAAGUAUUUCAAGUUCUUAAAAACACUUUGGUUUUACAAAACAUUAAAGAACAAAUUUCAAAACCUAUUUUUAAAAACUAUUUUUUAAAACUACUUUAAAAAACAAUUAUCAAACAGGCUUUUAACUUCACUUAUUUCAUUCUCUCAAAAACCCAAUAAUUACACAACCCGUAUAUAAUUUCUUAUUUGAAAAAGAUAAGUUUAUGAAUUAAGAACAAAUUCAAAUGUCAGAUUACCUAUUAUAAAGGUAUGAGGAUAAGUCAUAGUACCCUUCUAAAUUCGUAAAUUUAUGAUCUUUAAUAUAAAAGCAAAAAAAACUUUCACAUUCAAUUAAUUAAUCAAUCAAUACAAAAAUAAAUAAGACUUAAUAUAAAAGAAUAGACAACGAUACGAUAAAGAUAGAUUAUAAAAUCUACAAGACAAUGAAUAUGAGAAUUACACGAGUUGAUUCAUUAAAUUAAUUAAAAAAUGAUUUGAUUAUUUCUAAAAGAUUACAACAAAUCUUCAAAAGAUUUCAAAAGACUUUAUUUGCAUGAGAAAAAAAAAAGAGUCUAGAUGAUUUCUAUUUAUUUUAUUUUAUUUACAAAAAAUGCUUCAAUUUAUAUAAAAAGAAUGAUUUGAUUUAUUUUUAUUUACAAAAAAUUCUUCAACAUAUUUUUAUUUAUGGGCUAAUGUUUUUUUUAACUUAUUUUUAUUAAAAGAAAUGAUUGUUACAAUCCAAUUUGAUUUUAUUUACAAGAAAAUAAUUUUUGCAACUCUUAUUUGAAAAAUUAUUUUUACAAAUCUAUUUAAAAAAUUUUGAUUUUAUUUGGGAAAAAAAAAGUUUUAGGAUUCAAUUUUAUUAAGAAAAAUGAUUUUUAUAUUUUCAAUUUUUAUUAAAAGAAAUGGUUUCAGUUUAAUUUAUAUUUACAAAAGCUCAGCCAAUAUUUCUUCAAACUCUCUCAUUGUAAUAUUUAUCUGUUUGUUUUCUUGUAGUAUAUUUCAUGGAAGCUUUAUUGUGUUAAUUUCUUCAUCUUUGCAUGGAAAUCCAUGAUGGCAAGACCACAGCAGCAGCAGAGACGGCCAUGGACCACAGAAGAAGACAAUAAGCUCACUGAAUUUGUAAUACCCCAUAUAUAUAUAGGGACCGGACACCAAAAGUGGUGUGAAAGCCACUGCCAGGAAAGAGGAGAAAAAAACCAGAGAGAACAAGAGAAAUAGAGACGCAGUGGAGGGCCGUGGGUUCUCCAUGACGGAAAGCCUGCAUUCUGAGCCACCAAACCUGCUCCGAUCUAUAUCAAAUUUUGAGAGGGAGUUCAAUUCGUCGAGGUGAACAUCGCUACUGAGUCGGAUUUCGCAUCCAACGGUUAAAUUUUACUGAGGUUUUAUAUGCAAGAUUAUUCUUUUAAUUUGUUGGUGGAUAUGUGAAUGUUUGGAUUGAUUUUAGUGGGAAUAAUGUUUAGAGUAAAAUUUAGAAAUGAGUUGUUGAUGGCAUAAUUUACAUGAAUUAAAGAGGGAUAUUUGUGUGAAAUAUUGGAAUUAUUUGGAAUGUGUUUGGAUCUGGUGGGGUAGCUGGUGAUGGCGGUGAUGGUGGAGGAGACGGUGGAGCUGAAGCUGAGCCACCUUCUCCAUGGGGAUAUGGGAGAGAUUGUUUGUUCAAGUCUCAUCUAAUGAAAUUUUUUUUAUCCAUGUGAAAAAGGUAAUAGAAUCCUUGUUCCUUUACCUUCUGGUAAUUAUAUUUAUUGUAGGGUCAAGUUUAUAUUCUACAUAAGAAAAUUCAGAUCAUCUGAUGGCUUGCUUUUUGCAAAUGAAACUGCAGUGGUUGGUCCCUUCUAAAUAAGGGAUUGGCAUGGCCUGGGUUAUAUUUGUAACCGCUGUUAAAUAUAUCUAUAUAUAUAUAUAUCUAUAUAUAUAUAUAUAUAUAUAUAUAUAUAUAUAUAUAUAUAUAUAUAUAUAUAUUCAGACGAGCACUUUGUAUUAUUUAAUAAAUUAAAGAAAUCUUCCAACCCUCUUAACACUAAGGAACAAUAUUUUUUCGUAAACCAAUUUAAUUAUUUAAUAUAAUUUAAUGAUUUAAUUCAAGUCAUUGAUCGAUACGAUUAAAUAUAUUUGAUAAAAUAAAUAAUAAUAUUAUUUAAAGCCAAAAUUAACUUAACCUAAUAAGUAAAAAAUAUAUUUUUUUUCUCUCAAUAAAAAAUACUACUCUUGAGCCAUCAUUGCUGAAAAAAACUCAAUUGAUUACCAACUUACAAUAAUAACUAUCAAUUAUGUAUAUCAAUUCCUUGAUAUUAAUAAAACUAAUAAAUAUGUUUGGAUUAAAUAAUUUUUAAAAACUUUUAAAUUUAGUUUUAGCAAAGAAGUUGAUAUUUAAAAUAACAAGAAAUUAAUAACAAAAUUCUCUCAAAUCAUUUAGAGCCUGUUCAGUAGUGAUUUUAGGAAGCGUUUUUAUCCCUUCUAAUACAUGAAAAAUAGAAAUUUUCAAGUGUUCAAAAGACUAGACCCGCUUCCUUUAUAUAAUCACUACUAAAAGCACUCUUUAAAGUAAUCAAAUAUGAAGUUUUGGGUUUUAUGAAAUGUCAGCUUAAUUAGUUGCUCAACCUUAAUAAUAACCAAUAUCAUCAUCUCCCUUGGUUUCAUGAAAUUUUUACCUUAUUCAACAAACUUGCAAAGCAUAUGCAUUUCUUCAUUUCAUUUGGCCCUUGGAGAGAUGUGAGCCUUCAAUGGAUUCUGCAUCAGCACUGGCAGAAGGGCUGAAACUUUUUUCUCAGAGAGAUCAACAUCAUCCCCAUCCACAGCAGUCCAUUUGAACUUCCAAAUCUAAUUGGCUACAAAGUACUCCAAACGAAAAAUUCCUAAACCAUUACCAGGGCAAACCCUCCUUCCUGCAUCAAAUGGCAUCAUUUUGAUCUCCUUACUCCUAGUCACAUCGAAUGCUUCUACCCCAUCUCCAGUCAAGAACCUCUCUGGCUUGAACUCCAGUGGAUCUUCCCAUACUUCAGGGUUCCAUGCGAUCUCUGCUACCAUGAAAAAAAUGACAAACCAGGAGGUAGCUUCUUCUUGGGCUUGGAGAAGAGCAAUGGGAAGAAGAAAGCAGCAAUGCAGAGAGAGACGAGGACCCUGAACCAGGUCUCCAUUGUUGGCCUUAGAUCUUCUUUGGUUGCUGACAAGAUAUAUAAUGGCAAGCUACCAUUUGGGAGACUUUGUUCCACAUUGAAUAAAAGACUGCUAAAAUUAUUAAAGUUCUUUAAAUAAUAUUAAACCUUUUUUUCUAUAUUGAAACUAGAGAGUAUAUGCUUUAAAAUUAGAAAAGUGAGAUGACCUAGUAUAUGAUGCCACUCAGAUGAAGUGGUUUUGACAUUUGAAAAGGUAACUAAUGGAGAAAACCUAAUACAAAAAUUGAAAAAUUGAUAUUAGGUUUUUUGUCAUGUUGGGAACAUAAAGAAUAUUAUUUUGAAGUACUGAUAGUAGGAGACGUUAAAGUUGUGGAACUAGUAUGGGUAAUUGGAAGACCUGUGCCAUAACCAAUUAAGAGGUUGAUGGAGCUAGUGUGGGGAGUGAAGAGAAAGAUGCCCUAGAUCAAUAAUAAUAUGGUGAGAGGCAACACUAUCAAUGAGCCAUAAUGGAGGUGUGGUGGUGACAACAACAGUGGUAGUGACAUUGGGAUGUGAAUGUCAUGGUAUCGAGGGAGUGGAAGCUAAGGUCAACGAAAAGGGAAUCAACUAUAUUGUGGUGGACCCAAAAAAAGGGCACUAGUUUAUCUUGUGGCUUUGAGUGUCACAUGGUUGGUAGCAUCUGAGGUAUGGUUGGGGUGGAUGCUAGUCUCCAUAAGGUCUAGGUACAGUCGACGAUGAUGGGUAAUUGAAAGAAGGCGAUAUGCACUAUCCCAUGGUGUUGUUAUCGACGAUGGGAAGGCACCACCUAGUGGCAUUUCGAUUGACCAAAUUUGCAAUGACCAAAAAAGAAAAUGAUUGAGGUGAUGGAGCUUGUAGAGAGGCCUCCAAAUUCAACAUUUUUUCAUGUAAUUCCAUAAGUGUGACUACAAUUUCAUGGUCUUUUAUAGCUUGGACAAGUUUUUUGUAUUUAUCAUCGAGACCAUCAAGAAUUUUCUUGGCGAGAUCUUUUUUAUCCAUUGAUGCUUCAAGAAUAGCAAGUUCAUUAGCACGUGAUUUGACUAAAGCUAAUUUUUUUUUAAACAAUCAAGAAUCAAUCUCCAAAAAAAAAAAAAAAAAAAAAAAAAAAAUCAAAAGAUGAUAAGAAAAUCAAGAAUUAAAAAAUGAUCAAAAGCAAAAGACAAGAAAAUUCUAGUAGGUUUGAACUAGGAAAAUUUGGAGCUCCAAGUUGUAAAGAGGCAUUAAAACCAAAAUAUUGUACUGGAGGCUAUAGGAAAGGCUAUAAGAAAGGACAAAGUGAUUGACUAGAUGAGGAUUGAAGCAAAAAUUACUAAUGUGAAUGAGGAAACCCAUUUGGGGGUGUAUCCUUGCCAAUAUAGAUAUAACAAGGUCACUACCACGAGGCAAUGUAGUGCUCUAGGACCCUAAAUUUGCUCUUGGUUAAUAUAAAGAUGCGCUCCAAUACCAUAUAGAGAAGGAAGAAAAUUGAAAAAAAUAUGGCAUACCUUUCUCUAUAAUGAUUGAUAAAUAUUUUGUUAGAAAAAUUGACCUACUCCAACCUAAGGUAAUUACCUUAGAAGAAGGGUGAAUAGGGUGAUGGUUUCUUUUUGUAAAUUUAAUUUAUAUGAAUGUAAAAGAUAAUUAUAUGCAAAUAUAUAAUAAAACAAUAUAAAGAUAAUUGCAUAUAAAGUAAAAGAGUAGGGAAGAGAGAAUGCAAACAUAAGAUUUUUAUAGUGAUUCAACGCAACUUGGCCUGCAUCCAUUCUCCUCUAACUUCAAUCCCAAGCUUGAGGUCCCACUAUUUCAAGGCUUCCAAACCAAGCCUUCAAGCAAUACAAUUGGGUUAUGGUUCCAAUCCACCCUCUUGAACUUUUGGUUUUAAGCACCCUUUACAAUUCUCAAGAGAUACUUCACUCUUGAACAACCCCUCAAGUGAUACCCUACACUUGAGAAUCCCUAAGUGAUACCUCAUACUUAGAUUCUUCAUCUCAAAGAUUUACAAAUAAUUUCACAAAGUCCUAGUACAAAACUUUAGUAGGCUCAAAUGAUAUAAGAAAAAUUAGGAUUAAAAGGUGCACUAAUGAUAUGCAAGUUUUAGAACAAUGGUGCACUAAAAAACACCCUCUCAAGGCUCAAAUAUAUGCAAGAAAUGUUUAGGAAGGUUAAGGUAUUGAAACAAUGAAGAUUAGAGUUUUUUUAUAGAGGAAAAAUGCCAAAUUAGCCACUUGGGGUUCGACCGGUGGACUAGCCGUUAGCAUUUAAUGUUUGGUAGGUAACCAUUGGACCUCGACCUAUCCUUAACUGGACCUCGAUUGGUUGAACAAACGUUUUGGAAGAGAGAGAAGGUUUUUGCACCCUUCAACCAAUUGAGCUGUUUUUGGCUCAACAACCAUCAUUUUCAACUUAAAACAUUUUAAACAAGUUUGGAAAACAUUUGACACAAAGUUUUAGUUGAAAACAUGAAAUCAUCCAAUUUUAAAGGAUUUUAAAAAAAAAAUUACUUUUGGAUGAUUUUGGUGCAUAAAUUAAUAAAGUAAUGCAUGAAAGACCUAGUGCAUCAACAACCUUAUAAAGAGAUCUUAUAAAGUUUAAGUCUUGGAAAACACUUUUCUUUGAGAUCUUUUUAUUGAUUUUUCUUUGACUUGAUUUUAUCUUUAUAAUUGCAGCUUUGAAAAUCUUCUUGCCUAAUCACACUUGAAGCAUAAUCAUUAGUUUCAAACCUUAUUUUGUUAUCAUCAAAAUCGAGAUUAACCAAACCUUGGUGUAGACCCUCAUUUUGGCCUAAGUCUUUUUUAUUAUUUUUGGUGCACUUUGCUGGCAGCAUGUCUUAGAGUGGGGCUCGGUUUCCUUUGGAGCCACAUGCAUGGGAAGCAUGGCCAAGCACACCACCAGCUUGCCAUGGUGGUGGUUGGGGGAUAGAAACAUCUCUAAGCAAGUUGCAGAGGAUGAUGGCAUAAACAGUGGGCUGGUGGUGAUAUUUUGGUUGAACUGGGAGCAAUGAAGAAGAAAUAGUUGGAGAAGGGGGAUUGGAGACUUUUCGAGAGAGGGAGGAGUGCUUGAAGACGUGCAGAGCUUGCUUGAGAGGAGUCUGGUCAUGUAUGUUUGAUGUUUCUAAUGACUUCUAGGUUACUCAUAGGCUAGCCAUUACUGGUUUUUAUUUUAUCAUUCAUGCCAGAUUCAGAUUGAGAUUAUUGAGGCUCUGUUACUGCUUGCUCUGGUACAUAUUAUCUACAUCUCGCUUUGAAUCUGCUAGUGUUUUUUUAUUUUUAUUUUACCACCCUUCAACUUUACCCCACUCAUUUCAUACCCAUCACACCCAUAACGCUAUACUCUUCUCUCUCAUCACCACCGUCCAUCGCACACCAUCAUCAUCUCUACCGAAUCAUUUUCAUUAUUCAUGAGAACACUUUCCAUAGCCAUGGAAGCCCAUGUGGCUAGACCGUACCAGCUUGCCAAUGAGGUGUAUGGAAAACCAAGGAGGAGAGAAAAUGGUGGCUGGACAGGUAAGGACAGAAAGAGACGGGGAGUAGAAAGUUGGGCUGGGAAGAUUUUUGAGUUAGAGGGAGAAGAGAACUAGAAAAGGGAAGCAAGAAUGGAGUGGGUUUUGGGAUGUGGGAAUGGUGGUGCCAGAGGAGGAGGCAGAGGCCGUGUUCGACAAUGGGCGGAGUGCGGCGGCGGAGGAGGGGCUGUUUUUGGACUUUGAGCACUUAGGUGGGAGUUUGGAGAAGGAACCGCAGACAAAGGAGGUCCUGAUGAUGGUGGCAACUCCUGUGCCGUUUUCUGAGAAGCUUGGCGAAAGGCAAUAUGAUUACUCUUGGAAAUGAGUUUUAUGAUUUGAAUGACUGGUUGACAGUAAUUGAGGCAGGCAUGAUUUUCUUGGGCAUACUAAUAACGCACUAAAAAAUAGAGAUGAGGAACUUCAAUUGAUUAAGUCAAGACUUUCUAAUUUAUAGGAAUUAUGGGAAAUUGGGCUAUGAAGAAACAAUGGAUUUAAACUCCACUCAUUUCACCACCAAACCCAUUCUUUAUUAUUUUUUUUCUCUUUCACUAUUUCCUCCACUUAAACUUCUUCCAAUCCACUUUCAUGCGCAUGCACCCACAUUUCCAUUUUAAUUCUUCAUUAUUUUUUUGUAUCAAAGUUUAAUUUUCCAAAAUUAAUUUUCAUCUUCAAAUAAUUCUUCAAAAUUUGAAUUUUCCGAAAUUCCAUUAUCAAAUAAUUUUUCCAAGCUUCCAAUUUUCGAAAUUUAAUUUUCUGAAAUUCUAUUCUCAAUUUUACUUUUUAAAAUAAUUUCUCAAAAUUCCAAUUUUCCAAGAUUUCAUUUUUUUUAAAAAAUUUAAUUUUCCGAAAUUCCAUUCUCGAAUAAUUUUCCAAAAUUCAAAUUCUUAAAUUUAAUUUUCAAAAUUCCAUUUUUGAAUAAUUUUCCAAAACUACCAUUCUCAAAAUUUUUCAAAAAUUCCAAAAGUUCAAAUUUAAUCUUUAAAAUACCAUUUUUCAAAUUUUCCAAAUUUAAUUUUUAAAAUGCCAUCUUCAAAUAAAUUUUCCAAAAUUCCAAUUUCCCAAUUUAAUUUUUAAAAUGCCAUCUUAAAAUAAAUUUUUCGAAAAUUCCAAAUUCCAAAUUUAAUUUUUAAAAUGUCAUCUUCAAAUAAAUUUUCCAAAAAUUCCAAUUUCCAAAUUUAAAUUUUAAAAUGCUAUCUUCAGAUAAAUUUUCCAAAAAUUCCAAUUUUCAAAUUUAAUUUUUAAUUUUUAAAAUGUCGUCCUCAAAUAAAUUUUCCAAAAACUCCAAAAUUCCAAAUUUAAUUUUUAAAAUGUCAUCUUCAAAUAAAUUUUCCAAAAAUUCCAAUUUUCAAAUUUAAUUUUUAAAUUGUCAUCUUCAAAUAAAAUUUCCAAAAUUCCAAAUUCCAAAUUUAUUUAUUAUUAUUUAUUUUUUUAAAUGUCAUCUUCAAAUUUAAGUUCUAAAACUCCAAUUCUUAAAUUUAAUUUUUAAAAUUCCAAUUCUCAAAUAAUUUUCAAAAUUCCAAUUCUCAAAUAAUUUUCAAAAUUCAUAUUUCUUUCAAAUUUAAUUUCCAAAACUUCAAUUCCUAAAUUUAAUUUUCAAAACUCCCAUUCUCAAAUAAUUUUCAAAAUUUUAAUCUCUUUCAAAUUUAAUUUCCAAAAUUCCAAUUCUUAAAAAAACUCCAAUUUUCAAAUAAUUAUGGAGACUUCAAUUUUCAAAUAAAUUUCAAAACUCUAGUUUUCUUUCAAAUUAUUUUAAUUUCACUCCAAUUUUCAAAUAUUUUUUACUUCUAUUGCUUUUCAUCAUUCAUUACAGUUUUAAGUUACUAAAAAUCUUGUUUUUAAAUAAACUUGUUACCUUUCCUUUCAAGUAAGCACUUUCGCAAAUUUUCUUUGAUUUUAAAAUAAUUUUUCGUUUUCCUUGAUUUUUAAAUAAACAUGAAUUUGGUUUUCAUAAUUCCAAAAUAAUGGAAUUUGUGGGACUAAUUCAUGCAAGAUAAAUUGGGCUUUGGUGGGGGUCCUACAUAUAUAUGAGUUUUCUCUUUUGAUUGCCAAUUGUUAUGCUUAAUGAAUAUUGCUUGAUCUUUAUCUUGUUUUUUGAUAUGCAUGUGAUGAUUUUAUAUUCGAACUAACCUUGUUCCAUGAUAGCGCACUAUUACUUGUUGUUAAGGUACGAUCUCACUCCCACUUUGCUUAUUUUUUAUGUAUGUUUCGUUUUAUUAUUUGAUCAUUUCACUGAUAUCCAUUGAUUUCCUUAUCAAUUGUCGUACUUUGUUUCACCUUAUUUAGUAGAAACCUUAUUAUAAGGCUUAGAGGGGUGUUACAACUCACCAUCGUACCUUCCCAAUAGGUAACCUGACUCCCAGACUUGACUUUGGUUUUUCACAGACUUGUUUUUCCUUUAGGAGUCACACUUAGGGUUUUUCUUUCUUAUUUUGUUUUUCCCUUUAAAAUUAAAACAAAAAUAAGUUGCGACUCCAAGUUUUUUUCUAAAAAAAAAAAUUCAUAUUUUUCAAUAAAUAAAUGAAAAGCAAGUCACCUCAUCAAGUGGGAACACAUCGAGCAAAAAUGCGGGGUCCACACUUGGUUUCACAUAUUUAUAUACAAAUAAUAUAUGCUUGAGUUUAUCUUCCACUUUAAUUCAAGCCGUUUGAGUCCAUCUUCAACUUUAAUUCAAACUUUAUCUUUUAUAUAUCCUAAUUAAACUAAAUUAAGGAUAACUAUUAACUUUAUGUAAUAGAUACGUACCAAAGACAAGAUAGAGAAGGAAAAGAAGGGAAAGAGGGAAGAGUGUAGGGGGGGUGGGGUAGCAUUUAUAGACAUGGACCACGAUUGAAUGGAGACAAAGGGAAUGGAAAUUGUUUCUGUUUGUUUUUUGUUUUUUUCUUCUACAAAAGACAAAGAAAAUACUAAGAAAAAGGAAAAAAAAUUAAUUUUUGUGGUCAUGGAUGAUGACUAUUGCUGGUAAUAGCCAAAGCCAACAUUGAGUUUUAGAGAAAGUUAGAAUUGGAUAGAGUAGUUCACAGAGGAACAAUGGGGAGUUAAAAAUUUUAUUUUAAUGAAUUUUGAAUUUUGUUUCCUCUCAAUCUUUCCUUUUCAUUUUUUUUUGAGAAAAUUAAUGAUAAUAAAAAGAACAAAAAAAAAAAAAAAAAAAAAGUAUUUAAGAAAAUAAAAACAAGCACUAAUAGAAAAGUGAAACGGUUUGCAUUUCUUAAACCCCUCAAUACCUCAAUCUAGAAUCAAUGGUUUCUCUGCUAGUCUGUCACCCAUGACAUGAAAACAAUAUCACACAACAAAGCACUUAGGAACUUAAUGUUGCAAAGCCCAUAGAGCAUUUGGAAUUUUAUUCUUGGAAGGCAUAGACCCAAAAACAAGAUGGAGAAAGAAAAGAAGGGUAGGAGGGCAGACUGCAGAGGGUGGAGUAGAAAUGGUAUACAUGGGACCACAAUUGAAUGGAGAUGAAGAGAAAGGAGAUUAUAUUUAUUUUUUCCACAAAAUACAAAAAAAAAAAGAAAAAAAAAAAAUGGGAAAGGACAGAAACAAAAGAUGAUUGUUUUGGUCAUGGUUGAUGAUUAUUGGUGUUAGUAGCCAAAGCCAAUAUUGAGUUUAAGGGCACAGUCAGAGUCAGAGUUGGAUAGAGUCGGUCACAAAGGAGUAAUUCACUCUUUCCUUAUCUCUCUCCUUUUUUUCCCUCACUUCUCCUUGACUACCAAACAUAGCCUUAUUGUAGGUGAGAACCCACAGCAUUUUAGACCACGUACACGUCCAUUUUGUGUUCCUGAAGAAGAAAGAAGUGGAAUUAAAAAAAUUUAAUCAUUGAUCUUCUUAUAGAAAACAUAUUUAUUUUCUUUAUCUUAAUUUGGCAAUCCUUGAAAACGACUCAAUGUGUUUAUUGGUCUGCUAAAAUUUUUCUCACAUCAAUUCUUCAACAAUGACAUCCUCCUGCAUUCACAUGGUCACACAAAUACAAACAACAAUGUACAAAUUCUUCAACCCCACAACUUAUGAGAUCAAGACCUUCCUUUUUGAGAAAUCAUGAAAUGUGAAAGAGAUUCUUUGCAAAUUUCAAAAGUUAAUAGGAUAACCAGGGCAAACCCUCCUUCCUGCACCAAAAGGCAUCGUUUUGAUCUCCUUACUCCCAGUCACAUCGAAUGCUUCAAUCCCCAUCUCCACACAAUGAUGUUGUACUAAACACAUUUCUCUACAUUUUUCUAUCGAUAAGGUCUUCCUGAGAUGCUUUCAUUGACACCCAAAGAGAUUAGUAUCAAAGUUCGGCCACCCCUGAGAAUUCGUUCAGCUGGUAAACACCUUGCCUGUUAUUGGGAAAGCCAUGACACACCUGCUCGCUCACAAGUAAGAAGAUGCGCCCAAUAAUUUUUUUCUUCAUGCGUUUCUCCUUAACAUUAUUCUUUGUCUUUGAGCACAUGGGAAAUGUGAAAAGUGGUUAAAGGAUCUUGCUCUUGAAAUCUGAUGUGAAAAGUUGAGCUUAAUUAGAUGCUUUAGAUAAUCUAGUUGGAAGAUGUCGAAUUCUAAUGCUUGGAAGCAUCCAUUGUACUGAACCUUUUGUGGUUGGAUCAUCCUUGUAUUUCUAUGUUUAAUGGCGUUUGCUCGGCUUAAGGUAGAGGACAAUGGAGAGGGAAACAAUCUCCCUCAUGUACUGAAAAUCACUAUUAUUGUUUAUUGUGUCAUUUAAUUAUUGAGUCGGCUGCUUUUCCUUCUUUUGUUUUGUGCCCCUUUCACCUUUCUAACAUAUCAAAGUGGGGGGCCCCACUUCAAUUUU